rnacentral:rRNA from 1 species
CCUACGGGUGGCAGCAGUGAGGAAUAUUUGUCAAUGGACGCAAGUCUGAACCAGCCAUGUCGCGUGCAGGAUGACUGCCCUACGAGUUGUAAACUUCUUUUGUACGAGGGUCAACUCAGACACGCGUACCUUUCUGUAUGUACUUUACGAAUAAGGAUCGGCUAACUCCGUGCCAGCAGCCGCGGUAAUACGGAGGAUCCAAGCGUUAUCCGGAUUUAUUGGGUUUAAAGGGUGCGUAGGCGGUAGGUUAAGUAAGUGGUGAAAUCGCGAUGCGAAACUUGAUAAUUGCAAUUGAUACUGUUAGCCUAGAGAGCAGUUGAGGUAGGCGGAAGGUGUGGUGUAGCGGUGAAAUGCUUAGAUAUCAUGCAGAACACCGAUUGCGAAGGCAGCUUACCAAGCU